CGGCAACUCCACUUCCUCAAUAUGUCUGGGCUUGGCUCUCGGCUUCCCUUCCCCUAUCGUUGUUCAAGGUAGAGGCGGUCUCGUUCUCCCGUGAAUGGCACUACCUUGCACUAGUUCCAGCCUUCCUCUCAGAGCACCUUUUUCUUAGGCAGGGUACCCUAAAGCAGACCUCGAAAUAGGGAUUCCAAUGAGAGACCCUUAUUAGGAAGUAUUCCCAGAGUGAUCCAGGAGUGGAGCGCGGAGACUGGAAUGGGAAGAGAACAACGUGGAAAGGUGGCCAGUCUCUUCCCACAGAUCCAGUAUAGAGAGGUCUGAGGCAGAACGAUUCCCUGAUAGUGAAGACUGUGGAACUAAGCAGAAUUUGUACAGGUGCCCAAGGAUGCCACUGGCAAGUUAAAUUCCUUCCAUCUACCUGCUCAGUCAUCCCAAGGCAUAUGGUUUUGCCCUCACUGACACAGGUUGGCUAGCUCUUCCACAUACGUGUUUCUGGAAAGAAGACAGAAGUGUCUCAUGAAGCUUUGUCUCUCCGUUCAAGAGCUGAUACCCUCACCAAGAGUCCCAUCUGCCUUUCCUUGGCAAGAACUGAGAUGUGGACACAUGGCUGCUCAUUGCAGCAAGGGAGUCUGGAAAGAAGACUAUUUUUCCAGGGCAUAUUAUCACCUCAGUGGAAUCCACGACUGUUGGGUACCAGCUAGCUAUGUCUACAUAGCAUCUAUUAACAUCUUUGAUCCUUACAGUAAGCCUAUGCUAUGGUUAUCAGUGA
rnacentral:lncRNA from 1 species